CAAUGGCGGCGGCGGUGGCGGCGACGACCACCUGACAGAAACCCUUCUCCGGGCCGAAGGGGCCGGGCGCCGCGCGGCUCCCGGCGGGCCUCCCGGGCACCCGGCCACCGCGCCGCCCCCUCCACGCUAUGGAGUCCGAGCUGGCAGCCCAGGAGCAGAGCCGGCCACGGAGGCGAAGCCGCCGGGCCUCGGGACUCAGCGCGGGCGGCGCCGCAGAGCCUUCGGCCGACACCCCCGGGCCGGGGCCAGACGGCAGGAAUGUUGGCAACAGCUGGUUUGAAGAUCAUGCAAGAUACUAUCAGUGGAUUCCAACCCCCACGCGAGUACGCGGGCCUCUCACUGUUGUGGCCUCUCCCGUUGCGGAGCACAGGCUCCGGACGCGCAGUCUCAGCGGCCAGGGCUCACGGGCCCAGCCUCUCCGCGGCAUGUGGGAUCUUCCCGGACCGGGGCACGAACCCGUGUCCCCUGCAUCGGCAGGCCAACUCCCAACCACUGCGCCACCAAGGAGGCCCUGCUCCAAGUUUUUAUGUACAAUUUUCCUUUAAUCCAAUUGAGGGAGGGACAAGUCUGUCAUCUGUGACUUUUCGUCACAUUGCUGCUGGUCACCAGUUAAUCGGUUCUAACUACACUAAACUGAUAGCUGGAAAUGGGAUGUGAAUGAUUCGUAAUUGAAUCUCAAAUGCCUGCAUGUCUGAGAGUCUAGCUAAUGGAAAUGUGUAGGCCUAAAAUACCACUGGUGCAAACAUACGUGACUACCCACCCUUGGAUUCACACAACAGGCCACAAUUACAUUGAUAAUUAAGCUAAGCUAAUAUCAAUUUACAAUUAAAAGGCAAGAAUAGCAGCAUUGCAAACAACAAUAAGCAGCUUAAGAAAACACUGCUAUGUGAUGAAAAGUGUGGUUUUUUUUUUUAAGUGUAGGAAUUCUAACUAUGUGUGUGUCUUGUUUUGUUUACAAUACUUUCCUUAUUAAAAUAUGAGCUCAUGAGAGCAGGGAGUUUCCGGUUGUUUGUUUUGUUUAGAGGCACUCCCAGUUACUAGGCAAGUGCCUGGCACAGGGCACUGCUCACCAGUAGUUGUUGAGAGAAUGAAUGCACUUUACAUAAUUACAGUCACACCGCAUGACAACCAAAUCUCCCAGUAGGAAUCUCCACCACUAAGCAGCACUUAUUAGAAUAUAAAAAUUAAAGUCUAUGGAAUUAUACUUUACCCCAUAAAGUUGGCCCUCAGCCCACUAUGGCCCUCCCUACUCAUGUCUGACUGUGAGCCCUACUUUGAAUAUCACAGAUCUAGACUCUAUGGCCUACUACAGCUGUCCCACGGUAUCCAUGGGAUUGGUUCCAAGACCUCUAUGGAUACCAAAAUUCUUGGAUGCUCAAGCCCCUUAUAUAAAGGGUGUAAUGUACAGUUGGCCUCUGAGCAGCGGGUUCUACAUCCUCACAAUUGGUUGAAUCCGCAGAUGCCGAACCCAGGGAUACAGAGGAUGGACUGUACUGUGCUUUAAGUUCUUGCUAUUCAAAGUCUGGCUGGGGAAGCAACUACAUCCACAUCACAGGGAGCUUGAUAGAAAUGCAGAAUCUCAGGCCCCCCCACUCGGACCUACUAAACCCAAAUCCACUUUUUAACACGAUUCCCAGGUGAUGCAUAUGUGUAUUUGAGUUUGAGAAGCACUGCUUUAAGGACUGCAG